rnacentral:rRNA from 1 species
UGGGGAAUUUUGGACAAUGGGCGAAAGCCUGAUCCAGCAAUGCCGCGUGUGUGAAGAAGGCCUUCGGGUUGUAAAGCACUUUUGUCCGGAAAGAAAUCCUCUGGGUUAAUACCUCGGGGGGAUGACGGUACCGGAAGAAUAAGCACCGGCUAACUACGUGCCAGCAGCCGCGGUAAUACGUAGGGUGCAAGCGUUAAUCGGAAUUACUGGGCGUAAAGCGUGCGCAGGCGGUUUUGUAAGACGGAUGUGAAAUCCCCGGGCUUAACCUGGGAACUGCAUUCGUGACUGCAAGGCUAGAGUAUGGCAGAGGGGGGUAGAAUUCCACGUGUAGCAGUGAAAUGCGUAGAGAUGUGGAGGAAUACCGAUGGCGAAGGCAGCCCCCUGGGCCAAAUACUGACGCUCAUGCACGAAAGCGUGGGGAGCAAAACAGGAUUAGAUACCCUGGUAGUCCACGCCCUAAAACGAUGUCAACUAGUUGUUGGGGAUUCAUUUCCUUAGUAACGUAGCUAACGCGUGAAGUUGACCGCCUGGGGAGUACGGUCGCAAGAUUAAAACUCAAAGGAAUUGACGGGGUCAU